rnacentral:lncRNA from 1 species
UAGAAUUAUUAAUAGAUACAAGUCAUCUUAUUUAAUAUUUUUUCUUGUUAAAUAUGAUGUGUUUAAAUAUUAAGAUCAGCCAUUGGCUAGAAAUCCUAAUUUUGUGGUGGUAUGAAAUUUUAAAAUUUACCAGUUAUUAAUACAAAAUAGUUUUACAUGUAGUUUUGAUCAUUAUAACAGGCUCAAAUUGUUUUAAAAACUAUGUGUAGUUAAAAAAAAUGGAGACUAUUGCUAUGUAAAUCUCAAUUUCUUUACAUAGGCUUUGUUAUACAUGCUUUAAAAUGUGUACAUGUUAUUGAGUUAAACUAUUUUCAGCUGGAUGUGGUGGCGAACACCUGAAAUCCCAGCUAUUCAGGAGGCUGAGGCCAGCCUAGGCAAUUUAGUGAGACCCUGUCUCAAAAUAAAAAAUAAAAAGGGCUGGGAAUGUUGCUCAGUAGCAGAGUGCUUGCCUAGAUGUCUGAGGCCAUAGUUUUGAUUCCCAGCACUCCAAAUAAAUAAACAAAAUAUUUUCAGAGAAGCAAUUUAUUUUAGCAACUCUGGAUACUGGUCCCCACCCACCUCUGGAACUUGUUAUUUACUUCUUCAGUGAUUGUAAGAAUUUUUUUAGUAAAGCCUAUUUUACCUUCACAGUGUGAAGCCUAUGAUGUUCCUCUUCAGGUGAAGCAACUUUGGGUGUUCACACAGUAACCCUGAGAUGACAGUGGUUUUGAUAAGGUUCUGUUUGAAGCUUUAUGUUUCCUUGACCACAUCUAGAUGUUAAUCUCCAUUAGUUGCUAACUGAUUAUUUACUGCUUUCAACAAGCCCUGGCAUAUACAUUGCUCUAUACACAGCAAAUUUGGACUUCUUUGAAAGGGUAAUACUGAAAUUUUGUUUGAGAUUUGCUCUGACCCUAGGAGGGCUCCUCCCAGCUGUCUCUUUCUCUUUGAAGUGAUUGGUAUACCAACUGCCCUGAUCUGAUCAUGACAUAUUGUAUACAUUUAUUGAAAUGUCAUUCUCUAUCUUAAAUGUGCACAAUAGUUAUAUAAUUCAGUUAAAGACAUAAACAUUUAAAGAGAUAAGUCAUUUUUUGGACAACAAUAUGCGGUAAGAAAAAGAUGAAAAUUGGAUAGAAACUGAGUGGAGAGGGAAGCGGAGUGCUACUUUUAGGUAGAAUAGUCAAAGAAAGCCUCUCUGGAAAAAGACAUGAGCACUCAGACCUCAAUAAAGCAAAUAGUGUAGCUGCUGGAAGAUUGGUAGAAAACCAUUUAAGGAAAAAGGAACAGCAAUAGCAAAAGACCUGCAAUGGGCUGCUUGUGAUGAUGCAUGACUGCAACCCCAGUUACUCAUGAGGCUGCGGAAGGAUUGCGCAUUUGAAGCUAGCCUCAGGAAUUUAGCAAGACACUCAACAAUUUAGAGGACCUUGUCUCAAAUUAAUAAAAAAGGAUUGGGGAUGUAGCUCAGUGGUAAAGUGCCCUGGAUUCAAUCCCUAAUACAAGAAAAAAAAAUGUCCUGUAAUGAAAUACUUUAUUGGGAAAAGGAAAGAUACAUUUAAUCAUGUUUAAUUAAGGCUUUUUAUCAAAUUUUCAAAUCUUAUUGAUAUAUUUCCUAAUAUAAAUCAAGUGGCAAAGAAGAUAAUGUAAAACAAAAAGAAAAUUGGACUACAUUAUGUCAAGUGUUGGCUUCUGGUCCUGGCUCUUACUCUGCCACAUUUCUUUUCAGGCUUGUUUUCCAUACUAAUGGAGAAUACUUAUAUAUAAUUCCUAACAGAAUAUAUGAUUCUAUAAAGAAUUCUGGAGAUGGACAAAUGACAUUCACAGAAGAGUUAAAUUAUGUUGAAUUAAAAAUUUAGAGCUGGGUGUAGGAGUGUGUGCCUGUAGUUCCAGUUUUGCAGGAGGCAAAACUGAGCUCAGGAGUUCAAGGCCAACCUGGGCAACAAGGCAAGACCCUGUCUCAAAAAAAAAAAAAAAAGACUAUUUUUACAUGUGAACUAUCAACUAUAAUACAAUUGUUAGUCUACUACUGAUAAACAGAAAAUAAACAGCUACAAACACACACAUGGUGUGUGAUGUUUAGGGAUGUAUGAUUCCCAAUAAGUGAUUUGCAAUACGGAAAGUAACUUGGUCACUUAUUCCUGUUACCUCCUUUGUAGUUUCCUGGGGCUGUGGGGACCUCAGGUUAGGAGCCACUAGGCUUGCUUUGACUAUAAUUUUGUACCUGCUAUUUGCUAACCAUGACAUUAGAUAAGAUCCAUCCUUGAGAAUAUGAACCUGCCUUUAGAAAUCAUACCAUAACUCAGAAAAACAGACUACAGUAAAAUUUUAUUUGUUUAUGUGGGUGGGUUUUUUUUUACUUUUAAUUAUGAGCCAUAAAUUUAUUUGUUUCAUUAACAACUUUAGGAGGUUUCAUAAGUAAAUAUCCUAACACAAACAACUAAUAAUGUUUGGGUUGAAAAGAAUAAUUUAUGUUCUUUAUAAUGGUAAUAGUAAAUAAUACAUGAAAUUUUAAUUAGGUAAUGUUACUUUUUUAUAAUACUUGGAAACAAACUAUUUACUUAUAAGUGGUUUUCGAAAACUGGUACAGGGAACAAGAAUAGAAAGUUAGUUUGCCCAUCUCUCUGACUUAUUCUUAAC